AUACAGAGGUCCCAAGCGUUGUUCGGAUUCACUGGGCGUAAAGGGUGCGUAGGUGGUGGGGUAAGUCGGAUGUGAAAUCUCCGAGCUCAACUCGGAAAUGGCAUUGGAAACUACCCUGCUAGAGGGUCGGAGGGGGGACUGGAAUACUUGGUGUAGCAGUGAAAUGCGUAGAUAUCAAGUGGAACACCAGUGGCGAAGGCGAGUCCCUGGACGACUCCUGACACUGAGGCACGAAAGCUAGGGGAGCAAACAG
rnacentral:rRNA from 1 species